rnacentral:rRNA from 1 species
GACGAACGCUGGCGGCGUGCUUAACACAUGCAAGUCGAACGAAGUGGCGAACGCGUGAGAAAUACGUGGGUAACCUGCCCUCAUUGUGGGGAUAAGCCUUGGAAACGGGGUCUAAUAUCGAAUAAAGGUGGAUGGGCUCGCGACCUAUCAGCUUGUUGGUGGGGUGAUGGCCUACCAAGGCUGUGACGGGUAGGCGGCCGAAGAGGGUGACCGGCAAGAUGGGGACGGGGAUACGUCCCAGACUCCUAGGGGAGGCAGCAGUGGGGGAUAGUGCACAAUGGUCGAAAGCCUGAUGCAGCGACGCCGCGUGGGGGAUUAAGGCUUUCGGGUUGUAAACCUCUUUCGCUAGCGAACGGGUAGGUGGAGAAGAAGCGCCGGCUAACUACGUGCCAGCAGCCGCGGUAAUUC